rnacentral:rRNA from 1 species
GGUCUCGUAAUUGGAAUGAGAACAAUUUAAAUACCUUAACGAGGAACAAUUAGAGGGCAAGUCUGGUGCCAGCAGCCGCGGUAAUUCCAGCUCUGAUAGUAUAUAUUAAAGUUGUUGCAGUUAAAAAGCUCGUAGUUGAAACUUGGGUGCGUAGGGGCGGUCUCUUUUAGAGUACUACCCUGAAACAUCUUUCUUUGGUGUAAACUCUUUAUUCACUUAAGGAGUGUAAACCAAACAUUUACUUUGAAAAAAUUAGAGUGUUCAAAGCAGGCCUUUGCUCGAAUAUAUUAGCAUGGAAUAAUAGAAUAGGACGUAUGGUUCUAUUUUGUUGGUUUCUAGGACCGUCGUAAUGAUUAAUAGGGACGGUCGGGGGCAUCAGUAUUCAGUUGUCAGAGGUGAAAUUCUUGGAUUUACUGAAGACUAACUACUGCGAAAGCAUUUGCCAAGGACGUUUUCAUUAAUCAAGAACGAAAGUUAGGGGAUCGAAGACGAUCAGAUACCGUCGUAGUCUUAACCGUAAACUAUGCCGACUAGGGAUCGGAGGGCGUUAUAAUAACCUCUCCGGCACCUUACGAGAAAUCAAAGUUUUUGGGUUCUGGGGGGAGUAUGGUUGCAAGGCUGAAACUUAAAGGAAUUGACGGAAGGGCACCACCGGGAGUGGAGCCUGCGGCUUAAUUUGACCCAACACGGGGAAACUCACCAGGUCCAGACACAAUAAGGAUUGACAGAUUGAGAGCUCUUUCAUGAUUUUGUGGGUGGUGGUGCAUGGCCGUUCUUAGUUGGUGGAGUGACUUGUCUGCUUAAUUGCGAUAACGAACGAGACCUUAACCUGCUAAAUAGCUGUAACAAUAGAUUAUUGUUUUGACAGCUUCUUAGAGGGACUAUCGAUUUUCAAGUCGAUGGAAGUUUGAGGCAAUAACAGGUCUGUGAUGCCCUUAGACGUUCUGGGCCGCACGCGCGCUACACUGACGGAGCCAGCGAGUCUAACCUGUGCCGAGAGGUAUGGGUAAUCUUGUGAAACUCCGUCGUGCUGGGGAUAGAGCAUUGCAAUUAUUGCUCUUCAACGAGGAAUUCCUAGUAAGCGCAAGUCAUCAGCUUGCGUUGAUUACGUCCCUGCCCUUUGUACACACCGCCCGUCGCUACUACCGAUUGAAUGGCUUAGUGAGGCUUCCGGAUUGAUUAACUGGAGAGGGCAACUUUUCUGGUUGAACGAGAAGCUAGUCAAACUUGGUCAUUUAGA